ACGCUCGACACCUACGGGGGCAGCAGUGGGGAAUAUUGCACAAUGGGGGAAACCCUGAUGCAGCGACGCCGCGUGAAGGAAGAAGUAUCUCGGUAUGUAAACUUCUAUCAGCAGGGAAGAAAGUGACGGUACCUGACUAAGAAGCCCCGGCUAACUACGUGCAGCAGCCGACGGUAAUCUGGAGGCGGGCGUGGACGAAGGC
rnacentral:rRNA from 1 species